UUCUGUGGUGCACACCAGUCUCUGGUGGCUUUCUGCAAGCAGGUUUAUUACAAAGUAAUGUUACAGUAACAAUUUCAGCUCUACCGAAAUUAACCAUACAUUGACAUGGGUGCACAGAGAAUGUCUACAUGAAGUGGUACCUCUUCGAGGUCAGAGUACUCAUUUGCUGUGAGGUGGUUAAACAAAAGACGGGCUGCAGCUGCUGACAAACGGGUACAUAAAAGCAUCAUGGUUACGAGGUUUUUGCUACUUGUCUUAAAUAGGGGUUUUCGAAGGCUUCUGCAGUGCUUAGUGGGGUUUAUUGUAAUAUAUUGCAUUGCCCUUUAAAUGCAUGUUGGCAGUAUAACAUAGCACUUAAAUAGAUAAUCGCAGUGUGUCAAACGGUACCAUAAUGCACCAUCUACUCCAAAUAAAAGCAUACAUAAAUAAUAGUACAUUCAGUAACUCUUAGAGCACUAUCCUGCAUCUUUGCCCUUCAUUAGUGUAGAAAUGUUAGUUCGGCUUGAUCAUUCCCAGAUUUUCUAGUGUUCAUCAAUCCUCUUCGGGAUUUGCAUAAAUAAAAAUAAAGUACAAUAAAAACAAUUUGACAUAUUUUCACAAAAAAUAAAAUACAUUAAAAACAAAUACACAAGGCCAUUGACUUUCCAUUCUCACAAAAUAUUAAACCAUAUUGCCUCUUAACAGAAUAUUUUACAUCUUUGCAAGAAUUUAAAUAACACGUGACACAUUUGCAGUCUUUUUUACUUUUUUUUCUUUAAGUUACACAUCUCCAGUGUCCAUUAUGUGUUUAGGGUGCAAAUAGCUCCUGGGUUUGUUGUUUGUUUGUUUUCAAGGCCACUGUCUAUCGCUUCAAUCCCUUGGCCAGUUUGCUUGUAGGGGUCAUUCUUCUUUGAGGUGUGGGGAUCUUAGAGGGUUUCCCUCCGUGUUGACGGGACGCGGAGCGCGGCGUCGCUCUGGCAGAGUCGCCGACCGUCUCGGAAACAUCUGAGCACACGGAUUGGAUGUCUGAGAUGUCGAAGUCGGAGGCGUCACUUCCUCUGCGACUGCUUCCUCUGCUUCCGGCUUUACUUCCUGGUCGGCUGGAAUUUUUUCUCGAUUCUAGAGAGAUAAAAUCGGGAAACACUUUAAGAAACACUGAAAAGGAAUUCAAAUUUACAUGUGAAUGCGAUGGAUAGAUGUGGAGAAAAAGUUGCAAAGAUGAUGCUUUCUACUCACCACCUAUUGCCUGCGUUCGAGCUUUUAGUACAGCAGCACUGAUCAAGCUCCCUUCUUCACCUGACUGAAAUCCUUUGCCGGACAGGUACCCAGGCAAACGCAAUUUGCUGCCUUGAACCGCAUUACUCUGCGAAAGAAACAAACUUUUAUUAAAAUGUAAUCAGAUGCAAUUAUUAGUAAAAAAAAAUAGAAGACCAAAUUUUUAAAAAUAAAAGUCUUGAGUAUGUAUAUGUAAUAAAAAUUAGUCUUAAUUCUUAUUUAAAAAAACAAAAACAUUUUAGUAAAAUCAUAAUUUUUCCCAUAACUGAGGUGUAUCUGUCAGAUGCAGUUAGUAUGAAUUCAUGUACAGCAGAGCAAUACGUCAUUAGACAUUAAUGACAUGCAGAGGCGACAUAUGAAGUUGUACAUGAUGUAGUGGUAUAAAAAAUAAAGGUUAGGAAAGAAAAGAGCUAGUGAUUGAGCCAAUUAUUCAAGAAAAAUAAAGGUUACAAACCCAAAUAAAAUCUAAUAAGCUCAUUUUGCAUCUUCAAAUCCAAUGAAGUCAGAAAUAAAUCUACAAAAAGGCACUUUUUGCUUCUUCUUUUUUUUUUUUUUUUUUUUUAAAGAUUUUUCAAUAGAUUUCAGUUGGGUCAUAUAUCUGAAGUGUUUCACAUCAUGUGCUGCAUUAUGACUAUACCUCUGAGGAUGAACCUUGGCUCCCAAAGGAGUCUGAUGAUUUAAGAGGAGUGGAGGGUUUGCUGUUUGUAAGCCAUGGUUUAUCAUAAUUGCGGGUUAUGUGUUGGGGAUUCUGGGGAACAACGGCAAAUCAAAAGACAGAGAAAUGGAUUCACAAACUCAAAAACUAUCAGGAACACUAGAUGGAAGAAACACAGAAAUCAAACAACAAAAUGACCAAAUUCUGCAAGGGUAAUUAAAAAAAACAAAAACAAAUUAAAAAGCAGAUAAAUGAGAGGAAAAUCAUGAUGGUGGUGGAGAGGUUGGGGGUGAGACAGAAUGAGGCAGCAGCCAGCUCUAAUGGCAGAUGUAGCCUCUCACCUUGGGUGUGCUGGUCGCUGCUGGGUUGAUGGGGACGGGGAGGCUCUGACUGGAGGUGGAUCUGUUGGGAGAAGCUCCUCGAGAUGAAGGCCGAGACCUCCGGCCUCUGUAGCGGAAGCUUGCCAUCACUUGAGUGGUUCCCUCUGGGAGGAUGAACUUCUCUCGCAGCUCCACAUUGGUCCUGCCUUUAGCUAAGAAAGACACUCAAAAUGAGCCAUGAUGCACAAAUACACCUGUCACUGUUAUUUUUGUGUUAAUGGUGAUUAAGAUGAUGGUGAGUUAACAACCCACCCCCUCAUUUCUUUAUAUUGUGCCAGAAAAAUGGGAAAGAGAUGCCGAGAUUUAUUAAAACAUGCAGACUGAGAGUAAAUGGGAAAACAGUAUAUGAGGCGAAGUCUGAACAAUUCUAAUGAGCUUUUAUUCUUCAGCACAGUUUGAACUCUCUUAUGAAAGGCUUCUUAUAGUUUCUGAUACUUAGUAGUCUUCAGGAAUAGCUCUCCAAUCUUACUGAAGGAUAUUCAAAUUUCUUUUUUAGAUGUUGGCUGCAUUUUGUUGCACAAUAAUAAUGUUGAGCUUCAGGCUCAAGGGAGCCCAAUCCAUGACAGACAGUGUUUCACUGUGAGCUCAGGAUCACUGUCAUCCUGUUAAAUGACGCUGUUGUCAGUCAGAUCCUCUCCAGAUGGUAUUGUAUGUAUGUGGAUCCAAAUCUAAUGGUAGUUUUUUCUGUUCAUGAUUCCAACAAUUUUGACAAGAUCCCCGACACCACUGACUCCAAGCUCCAAACCACGACAGAACCCCACUGAGAUUUACAGAUUGCUGCAGACACUUACUGCUGUGUCUGUCCUGACUUCUUCAGUACAUAUUGAUCACUAUUUGAACCAAAAAUUUCAAAUUUAAAUUUAUCACUCCUUAAGACAUGUUGCCACUUAUUUUCAGUACAGUUCUUGCCUAAUUUGGUGCGCAUCAGCCUCUUCUCUGUUCCUUAUUCUUAAAAAUUGCAUCCUGACAGCCACAUGAGUUUUUGCAACAGGCUCUUAGUAACCAAGUACCUAAAUAUACCAUUUAAAACUGGCUCUUUGCUAGAUUGUCUGUUGUGUGUAGAUAACACUGCGUAAAGUGCCUUGAUUUAUGUUUUAAUGAUUCACAGGACGGUGUUAUUCAUCUUAACAAACAAAAAGCAUUCCUCUGAUGCUGGUCAGAAUAAAAAUGAGUGAAAAAGCAGCCAAUGUCCAAAGAAACAUUUUGAAAGACCUCCAGAAACCCAGAAGAACUAUUGCUCAAGACCACUUUCAAAAAUUUACCAAACAUUCUGGAUCCUUCGAUGCAAAAUAUAAAGAAAUGAGGGGUGGCUCCAGACUUGUGCAUGUCUUGUCGUGCACAACACUGCAUGCUAAGCUGUAUUCCCGGCUGUGUAGAAAUCUGUUGCUUCUAACGGUAAUAUCAUGAAUUGGAAAUUUACCAAUGUAUUUUUCUUAUAAUCAUCACUGAACUACACAGCAAUUUCCAGGCGACCCCAAAGAACAGACCAAUGAAAUGUUAUCAUGAUGUGACUCAACAACAAAACAGCUCAUGCAGUUUCAUAUCUCAUCCAUACUGUUGAACAGACGUCCAGUUCCUGUUGCAACGGUAGUGGAAUAAGUGACAGCGAGAAAACUAAAAUAAAUCAAAGUGAGUCUAAACACUCUCACAAACCAAAGAAGAAGAAUUAUAGGAAACUAAACUACAGUGUAUAAACUAAACAGUACGGUUACAUUGAAAACAAACAGACCUGCAUGCAGUUUUAAACACUAAGCCACCCUGUCAAACAAAGUAAAUGGUGUAAGAAAUACUGCUUCGGUUUUGUGGCGUGUGUUUCAUAGAGGCAAUGUAACCAUUUUCCCCUAUGAAGGAGCCUAUACUACCAG
ensembl:lncRNA